UUCGUAGGCGGCAUAUCAAGUCUGGUGUUAAAGCCUGGGGCUCAACCCCAGUUCGGCACUGGAUACUGGUAAGCUAGAAUGAGGUAGAGGUAAUGGGAAUUCCUGGUGUAGCGGUGAAAUGCGUAGAUAUCGGGAGGAACACCGGUGGCGUAAGCGCAUUACUGGGCCUUUAUUGACGCUGAGGAACGAAAGCCGGGGGAGCAAAUGGGAUUAGAUACCCCAGUAGUCCCGGCCGUAAACGAUGGAUACUAGGUGUUGCGGGUAUCGACCCCUGCAGUGCCGUAGCUAACGCGAUAAGUAUCCCGCCUGGGGAGUACGCACGCAAGUGUGA
rnacentral:rRNA from 1 species